rnacentral:lncRNA from 1 species
AUUGGAAGUCAGGUGCAGAAACAGAAAUAAGAUAAUCUGUGUUUAUCUUAUUUGAACAGGGUUUGAACAGUCUGUGCCUGUGAAUGGUGCAAGUAUGGCUGCUGUGAUUGGCUGAGACUUCAUGGCUGCUUGUUACAGGAGUAAGUUACAGCCUGUUUACACAACCAGUUAGGUUACUUCACCAUGUAUGGUGAAAGCUUUAGGCCGAACUUAAAAUAUGUAAAGAGGGAGCUAUAGACUAAACUUAAUUUAACAAUACUUAUCGGUACAGUGUACUAAUUUUGCAUCUUUGAGAAUUUCAGUUACAUUGGCUACAGAUUGGAUCCUAAGCACACCACAUCUAUUUCUAUUGUGUAUAUCUGUGAUAUUGUGAAAUAUUUAUUUGGUCUUUGUCCCAUUUCCUGGCAUAAAAAUCUAAAAAUCCUUAGAAUGUCCAAAGUCGUGGGAGUCUUUUUUUACACUAAUGAGUUGACUGAUGGCUAGCAGUCCCUAGGUAGAUUCAGGAUGGGGCCUGGCCACUGGAAAGACAAAGGCAGGGUUAGAGGGUUGAGUUGAUCACCAAUGGCUGAGUUGAAUCAAUCACACCUAUAUAAUAAAGUUUUUUUUUUGAAAAAAAAAAACAAAAAGGCUGUGUUUAGGAGCUUCCAGAUAGCUGAACAUGUGGAGGUUCCUGGGGUUCCAUGCCCUUUCCCCCCCAUACCUUGCCCUAUGCAUCUCUUCUCAUCUGUAUCCUUUGCAAUAAACUGGUAAAUAUAUUUUUUUGAGUUCUGUGAGCUGCUCCAGCAAAUUAGUUGAACCCAAGGGAGGGGUCAUGGAAACUCUGAUUUAUAGCUGGUUGGUCAGUGCACAGGUAAAAUAACCUGGAGCUUGAGAUUUGUGUUGGAAGUGGAGAGCAGUCACGUGGGACUGAGCCCAUAACCUGUGGAAUCUGAGGCUGUGUCCAAGGAGAUAGUGUCAGAAUUAAAAUGAAUUAGAGGACAUCCAGCUGGUGUCCACUGCGGAACUAUGGACAUAUGGGGGAAAACCUUCACACAUCUGUUCUCCGAAGCACGUUGUGAGAGUAUAGGGGGAAAGCUGAGUUUGUUUAUUCCUACUGAGUUUAUUUAUUCCUACUGAGUUUAUUCCUAUAUUCUCAAUACCUAAUGUAAAUUCUAAGUAUUAUAAUUUCAUGGUAUAUAUUCCUAUUCCAGAAAAGCUAAAUUCGCCUAGAUUUUUGCCCAUAUUUUCCCCAGCACCUGGAAUAUUGCUUCAAACAUAUUAAGUUCUCAAUAAAUAUUUGCUAAAUGGGGUAAAUGUAACAAAUCAGUGGCAGAUGGGUUACCUACAAUGUAUAGAGUUGUCUUUCCCUAUGUAGUAUAGUUAUAAUGACAGGUUGAAGAAUGCAUAGUCCUGGCUUUACUAUUAAUUUGCUGUGACUUUAUUUUCCCUCUUCUUGUUCAUGGCAGAACCUAAAUUCUUAAUUGAAGGGAUUAGCAGGACUUAAAAUAAUAAAGGCUGAAAAUUGUUACUGAGAGCUGUGUCACUAUUGACUCUGUAAAGACAUUGGUGUUUCUAAACCAAACUCUUUCUCUAAUCGAAGAGACAUUUUGUCUCUCCACCAAAGCUGGUCAUCCAUACAACAAACAUAGUAACCAGUUAAUAAUUAUCAUACACUUACCAUGUGCCAGGCACUGUGUCAAGUACUUUAUAUUAACCCCAUUUAAUCCUCACAACAACCCUAUGAGGGAGUGAUAGGAUUAGGCUUUGUCUCCCCACCCAAAACUCAUCUUGAAUUAUAAUCCCCAUAAUCCCCACGUGUCAAGGGAGAGUCCAGGUGGAAGUAAUUGAAUAAUGGGGGCAGUUACCCCCUGCUUUUCUUAUGAUAGUGAGUUCUCACGAGAGCUGAUGGUUUUAGAAGGGGCUUUUCCCUGCUUCACUUGGCACUUCUUCCUGUUGCCUCGUGAAGAAGGUGCCUUGCUUCCCCUUCACCUUCUGCCAUGAUUCUAAGUUUCCUGAGGCCUCCCCAGCCAUGCUGAACUGUGAGUCAAUUAAACCUCUUUCCUUUGUAACUUACCCAGUAUCAGGCAGUUCUUUAUAGCAGUGUGAGAACGAACUAAUACAGGGAGGUACUGUAAUUAUCUCCAUUUUACACAUGGGGAAGUAGAUCUUAGAGGUGGUUAUGCAUUUUACCCAGUAUCACACCCUUAGCAGUAGUAGAACUGAGAUUUGCAUCCUGGCAGUCUGGACCCAGAGCCAACACUAUUGACUACUUCAGGUCUUUUCAUUUAAGGUUGAGGCAUGACAGUGACGAAGAGCUGUCUUCCUCUGCUUCCAUGUUAAUAACAGCAGGGCCAAAUUUUCAACUGUCUAGUAAGAACUUUGGGGGACAAUUUUAUGCUUUGCUUUCCUUAAGCCGUUUGUAAGUGUGUUUAAUAUGAUUUUCAAGUCUCAAAGUAUAAGGUUAAUUCUUUAAUAUUGCCUCAUAUUUCAGUGUGUGCAGUUGUGUGGGCCACUAUUUGAAGGUGAAGUGUUACAUAACGUCAUUUUUAAUCUUUAUUUUUCACUUAAAUAGGAUAUAUUUCAGUAUUACAAUUAAUGUCCUUCAUGACUUUAAAGGAUCAAUGCCAAGUAGCACUGUUUCCAAAAUUAGAAUUUUCCAGAGUUGGCAUAAUAUCAGUUGGAUAGUAUUUUAUAAUUUUUGGGGGGAAUAUAAGUAUGAGAACCUCACAAUUGUUCCCUUCAAUUUCUCCCCUCUAGGCCUUUAUACUAUUGUUGCAUGUAUUUUUCUUAUGCAUGUUAUACUGGCACAUAUUUUUUUGCCAGGGUACGUACACUUUAAAUCCAUAUUACAGGGAUAUUAUUUAAACAUAAUUUUCUAUAUAGAGAUUUGCAUAUAAAACUAUGUAAGUGCACAAUAUAUAUCAUUUUUAAUUCUUUCUUACUUUGGCACUUAAUUUUUAGAGCUUGUAUUAUAUGCCUUAACUCCUUGAUGAGAUUAAAAGUAGCAUUUUGUUUAAAACAUAACAAAACAAAAACAAAGAUACUCAGACUCACAUUGUGGUACACAGUAUUUUAAUAAGAAGUAACUUCAUGUCUAUUAAAGAGGCCUUAAAAAUAUUGUUUCAACACCAAAAAAACCUGUAGUGUAUUAUAAUAAACUCUAUGUAUUUACCAUGCAUUUUGUACAUUUUUAUUUAUUUUAUUUUUAUUUAUUUAUUUAUUUUUGAGACAGAAUCUUACUCUGUCACCCAGGCUUGAGUGUAGUGGUGCAAUCUUGAUUCACUGCAACCUCUGCCUCCCAGGUUCAGGUGAUUCUCCCUCCUUAGCCUCCCGUGUAGCUGGAACUACAGGUACGCACCAACACACCCAACUAAUUUUUUGUAUUUUUAGUAGAGACAAAGUUUCACCAUAUUGUCCAGGCUGGUCUUGAACUCCUGACCUCAAGUGAUCCACCCACCUCGGCCUCCCAAAGUGCUAGGAUUACAAGCAUGAGCCACUGCUCCUGGCCUUUAUUUUUCUUUUUUAAUAGAUAUGGGGUCUCACUAUGUUGCCCAGACUGGUCUCAAACUCCUGGGCUCAAGUGAUUUUCCCUCCUUGGUCUCAUAAAGUGCUGGGAUUACAGGCGUGAGCCACUGCACCUGCCGUAUCAUACUCUUUUAAUUAUAUCUCUGGUUCUUUCCUCGGUUUGGUAUCUGAAGGAUUCCUUCAAAGUAGCUAUGACUUGAUUAUUUUGCAGAGAAAUAUACACUCCUUCACAGCCCCAAAACCUGUUUCAGUGGAAAAAGUUGUUCCUUUCUUUUUGUUCUCAUAGACCCAGGAGAAGUUGCGAGAAAAGUCACUGAAAAUGGCUAGUGGCCCAAUAUCACUAACACACCCUAAAUCUGUUCCUUCUACUCUCAGAUAUUUCCCUGAUGAUGUCAAGCAUGAAACAGAGCAGCAUGUUAGACCCAUAAGAUUUGACAGGGAAUUGUACAUUGAUAUACAAAAUGUACUUGAUGAAAAUACAGUUCAUUUUUUUUAAUCCAUGGAGACCUAAAAAUACACAUAAGUAUAGUAUUUGGUUUGAUUUAC